rnacentral:rRNA from 1 species
CAUGAAGCUGGAAUCGCUAGUAAUCGCGGAUCAGAAUGCCGCGGUGAAUACGUUCCCGGGUCUUGUACACACCGCCCGUCACACCAUGGGAGUCGGAAAUGCCCGAAGUCUGUGACCCAACCUGAGAGGGAGGGAGCAGCCGAAGGCAGGUCUGAUGACUGGGGUGAAGUCGUAACAAGGUACC